rnacentral:lncRNA from 10 species
GUUGGAAGCUUCAUAGUCUUCAUCAAGAUCCUUAUUAUUUCUUGCUAUUUGUGAACCUCCCUGCUUUCAAGUCCUCUUCAAUUGUUUCUUCAGGCCAGACAUUCCAUAUGAGAAGGACUGAGAGUUCAAGGAUGCUGCAAUUAACGGCCUGGACAGAGGAUGGGGACAUGAAUAAUGGUAGAGUCCAGCAUUAGCACAACACUCCAUUCAUCACUGCUGAAGGGCAAAUGCAUAACCCUCAAAAUGAUCCUGGAAAGAGGAAAAGGGAGAGGAAUUGCAAGUUCCAUGGAACAGUGAUUUACCAUGCAGCAGAGGAUGUGAGCAUCUCCGAAAUAGAAGGGUCCACAUAUUUUGAACUUUAACAUAUAUAAUGAUACUUAUAAUGUGACUGUUACGGGCAGCUGAUUUUUCAUACAAUUGACAUGAGACCCAUCUGAUGAAGUGGCACUCCCAAAGAAAAGAUAAAGUCAAAUCUGGCUGGCCAGUUACAACUUCAGAGCUCUUUCAUAACUUUCUGAGGUUGUAGAUAAAUUGGACCUUCGCAGAAGACCGUGGCUGUGGACAAGUAAACAAUUCCUAUCAUACAUUUCUCACUGGAGGGAAAGUUAAAAGUUAGAUUCAAUAAAAGUGACCGCCAUGACUUAACUAAACCAUCCAGCAUCUCCUUGCCGACAGCCUGCCUUAUAUUUACAUGAAAGGAUUUCCUGCCAGUUUAUCAUCUUAGUCUUAAUACCUAGGCCUUUAUCCCCUCAUCUCUAUCCUACCAAUUGCCUGUCUUUUCAUUUUGCACAGAUGGAAUGGGCAAUUGAAGAAGUAAGGCAUCAUUACCUUCUUCUUUUUAAAGAUGUAGGGAGUGAGCACCAGGUUCUGUUCUCAGCAAACCUCUUUAAUCCUAGUGGGGUUGGUUAUAGCAACUUCAAGCCUACCUGACUCCAGUUUUCUCUUCCAAAUCAAUCUUUAAUCCUCAAAAAGGUUGAUUUGAUUGCACAGUCCUUGCUUACUGUAUUUCAAUGGUUCCCUAGGGUUUUCAUAUUAUAGCUGGAGUUCCUUAGCUUGGGAAAAAAAAUUCAUUUUAAGCCCCUUGACUCUCCUUUAUUUUUGUAUUUAACUUUUUAAAAUAAAAAAAUCUGAAAUAUCCUAACAUGUAGAAAUUUGCAGAAGAUCAUUCAUCUUUCUAAAAGCUAGCUUCCUCUAGUCAUCAUUUCCCACUCUAUGCACCAGCCAUGACUUGAGCCCCUAAAAUUUCUCUUGCUAUUUAACACUUCCAUGAUUGUGUCAAUCCUG